rnacentral:lncRNA from 1 species
GGUACAAAAUGAAAUCUUUAAUCAUUUUUGUCUUGAAGUAGAGUUGGACUGGAAAGCUCUUCACUUCCAAAUUUAAUUACUGGAAGGAGAAAGAAGGACUGCAGGAAGAGAAAGGACAGACUGAAAUCCAAAGAAGCCCAGCCAGCUGGUGUGAGGUAUUACAUUUUCUGUUCCACAAUCCUUAUGUUUACUGUCAUCUGUACAGUCCAGAGUGGAUUAUGGCAUAAAUACUUAAGAAGCAGCAAGAUGGAGAAAGAGGGAAAGGGGAAGAGAUGACUCAGAAAUUCACCUUCCAUUGGUCACAACUUUGUCCUGUGGCUGCAAAGCCAGGAAUUGGCAUGAUCAUAUCCUCAACUAAAACAGCUAAAUGAAUGCUAAAUGAAGAAUAAUAAUUUUGAAAGUAGCGAGUCGCGCAGAACGCGCCGAAUCAGCCCGCUGCAGACAGGCAGGUCUGUGUACGCGCUACCGAGGUCCUGAGUCACGCGGAAGACACCGAAUCACCCCGAUGCAGACAGGCAGCCACCUGAUUCCACACUACAAAGAAGCGGAGGACACCAGACCACCAGACCAAGGUACUGAGUCCCACUGUUCCCGACCCAGAGGUAGGGGCUUCUGAGCCAUCGUCGCACUGCUUCUGGUCCAGAGGAAGGGGCUUCCCGGUCACCAUCCGUCCCACUGCUCCCAGCCCAGGGGAAAGGGCUUUUGGGCCACCUUCUGUCCCGCCGCUCCUGGCCCAGAGGAAGGGGCUUCUGGGCCACCAUCCCUCCCACCGCUCCCGGCCCAGAGGGAGGGGCUUCUGAGCCACCAUCCCACUGCGCCUGGUCCAGAGGAAGGGGUUUCCCGGCCACCAUCCCUCCGGCUGCUCCCAGCCCACAGGAAAGGGCUUUUGGGUCACCAUACCUACCGCUGCUCCCGGCCCCUGUCCCACCUCUCCCAGCUCAGAGGAGGUAAUCCGUGCAGGCGCUAACAGCCCCCUGCCCCAGUUGAAAUGAGAAAACACGUAAAUAAGUCUCAAAACCAGACUUCCAGAUCACCUACAGCAACC